rnacentral:rRNA from 1 species
CAAUAGCCUAACGGCUGAACCAGCAACUUGGAGGAAUGUAUAGCGAUAGCUAAUUGCAUCGAAAAUAUGAUGCAAGAUCGAUUUAUUGAAUAAAAUUCUGGGUAGAAUUAUGAUUAUGACAUUGUCUACCCAUGUGUCUUGACCAAAUUACGUGCCAGCAGUCGCGGUAAUACGUAGAAGACUAGUGUUAUUCAUCUUUAAUAGGUUUAAAGGGUACCUAGACGGUAAAUCAAGCCCUAGACGGGACUAAUUUGCUAGAGUUACUUAUGAGGGGGUUUUAAAGUACUAAUGGUGUAGAGAUGAAAUUUUGUAAUACCAUUUUUCGAAAGGAAAGUAAUGGCACAGGUAUAGGCGAAAGCAUCCCCUUAUGUGAUAACUGACGUUGAAGGACGAAGGCUUUGAGUCGCGAACAGGAUUAGAUACCCUGGUAGUCAAAGCAGAAAAUAAUGAGUGUCAUAGAUUAGAUAUUAAAGUUUAUUCUAUAAAUGAAAGUGUAAGCACUCCACCUCAAGAGUAAUUUGGCAACAUUGGAACUGAAAUCAUUAGACCGUUUCUGAAACCAGUAGUGAAGUAUGUUGUUUAAUUUGAUAAUCCGCAAAAAACCUUACCACAAUUUGAAUAUUUAUAUCGUUGAUAUAAUUACAAGCGUUGCACGGCUGUCUUCAGUUAAUGUCGUGAGAUUUUGGUUAGAUCCAUUAAAUUAACGCAAGCCCUUACUUUAUUUUAAAAUAAAGUCGUUCCCCACUAGAUUGGAUAAGAUAACAGGGAUUAAGACAAGUCAUCAUGGCCUGAAUAUUGUGGGCUAUA